rnacentral:rRNA from 1 species
UACGGAGGGUGCAAGCGUUAUCCGGAUUCACUGGGUUUAAAGGGUGCGUAGGUGGGUUGGUAAGUCAGUGGUGAAAUCCCCGAGCUUAACUUGGGAACUGCCAUUGAUACUAUCAGUCUUGAAUAUUGUGGAGGUUAGCGGAAUAUGUCAUGUAGCGGUGAAAUGCUUAGAUAUGACAUAGAACACCAAUUGCGAAGGCAGCUUACUACACAGUUAUUGACACUGAGGCACGAAAGCGUGGGGAUCAAACGGG